GUAGUUAGACUCCAAGAAAACCCUGGCAGGCUAGGCUCUGGUUAACUAGUUUCUUCUGAAGGCAGGCCUUCUUCUUCCUGUUAAGAAGAGAAUGCUCUGGUGUAUUCAAAAUAGUUCCUUUUCCCCUCCCCUUGCUGGAAGCAGGAUCCUGUUUGAUCUCUAGGAGGCAAAACUCACAAAAGUGUGCCCUUUUCCCCCCGUGCCUGGUGACUGGGUCUAGCCAGAGUUUUUACCUCCAGACUUGUCCACAAUGAACCCCCGGCACUUCGUCAGUUACAGUUCAGAUGUUUCUACCCUGGCACUGGUUCCAUGGGGAUUGCUCCUCCAUGGAUUACUGCUCUGGUAAAUUGUUAUUCACUUGUCUGUCUAAUUUAGAGGCAGUGGUUUGGCCUGUGAUCUCACUUCCCUGACAGAUCUAAGAAGAGCUGUUUGUUGCUUUUUCAGUUCACUCAGCUUUUGACUUGUAAGAGUGUUGCAAAGACUUCUUCGCUCCUUAUGUGCUGGACCAGAAACCAGAAGUUCACCAGUAUCCUUUGAAGAACCAACUCCUGCCCCAGUCUCAACACACCUGAUUCUCAGUUGGAGCUGCCGGCUGCAGCAGGGGACCCCACCUGGCCAGCAUUGUCAUCCUUUGGUCAUGCUGGAUGUUCAAGGAUGCUCCUGUGAUCAAUCCCGUUGAGACUGCAAAGGCUGGGUCCAUCUUGAACCAUAUGAAAAUAAAAUAUGCCUUUUAUUUUUCCUACUAGACUUGAAUCUUGUAAAAAUUAAGGCUUUGCCUGCUAGGGUCACUGUAAGUUGUAGGUAUGUUCUACCUGAAAGGGAGACACCACAGAAGAAAACUGAAGCAAGAAAAGAAGACAAAUCAACUCCCGAUAAUGUGAUGUGAGGUGUGAGGUCCUUGCAGGCUCAAAGAAGUUUCUAACUGGUUCUCUUUGUAAUCACCAGAGCCAAUUCACAUCUUUUUUUUUCCCCCAAGCUUAUUUGAAUUGAAGUCUUCUGUCACUUGGAAUUUCAGAAGCCCUGACAAAUAAAAUGGUUCAUUAAUUGAAUCGGCUAUAUCACAAUUCAAAUGGUGGCCUGACAACAUAUCUGCAGAUAUCAAAAUUCUACCAUAAUAAUUAGACUAUAAAUGGUGUUUAGUCCUAUUUUCAGUAUUCUCAAAAGUGCUGUCUUAGAAAUUAAGCCACCGCUUUUUCUGCACAAGAAUUCCUUUCAUGCCAUCCCAGCAAAUCUGCCUCUAUGCGCUCAGAUGCAGAACUGGUUCUGAAUUGUGCAAAGAGCCACUAUUGCCAGCUCUGCUCCAUUUUUUUUCUGGCAGCCCCAGCGUCCAAUCAAGAUUUCUGGAUCUUUUCCAAUUAUAACACCAUUUGGAAAUACUCAGCAUUUUCCAGCCUUGAAUAAUGUAUUGAUCUCUUUAAAGUAGAAAAUAUUCUCACAGACCCCCAAUGUUGACUUCAAUUCUUUUUAUUGUAAUUUUACUUAAAUAUAUAUGCAAACAUAAAACACUACAAACUGUUAGGCUUAUAGCUUUUAGACAACUAUAAAAAUAAACUUACAGAACAGAUAUAAUAUAAACUACAAAACCAAUGAAAUGGAAACGAGCUACAUUAGCUUACCAGGACAGAGCAGAGAGUAUUCCCGAAGCUCCAUGCCUGCUCAGCUUGGGAGGCCAAUGUUUCUAAUUACUCUUGAGUUCUGAGCUCAGCAUUGUCAGAGGAUUCCUGCCUAGCGGGGCCAGGAUUCUCCAACAUUUUUCUGUAUUUAGAUUAUUUCAAUGCUUCAUUAGCAUGGCUUCCCAUAAAGUCACUGGCCUCUACUUAACAUAACUGUAGCUGUUAUUUAUGAAGACUCUCUGCUGUGUCUUAUUGAAUCUGUGACUAUUAAAAUUGUACCAAAAGCAGUAUCAGCAUAAUAAUAAACAUUUGAACUGUGAGAAACAAAAUCACAUGAUGGCCCUCAGCAAGGUGAUCAUCUAAAGAUCUAAAAGAUGCUUAUGUAAUUUUAAACCAACUUUAUUGAGGAAUAGUUUACAUACAAUAAAAUGUACAGACUUUAUAUGCUUGGAUGAAUUUUGACAAAUAUAUACAUUUGUAACAAACACACCAAUCAAAAUAUACAUUGUUACCCCUCAGUAACUUUCCUGUUGUCGAUUUCAGUCAAUAUCCUAUCUGACUGCCAUGAAAGUUGUCAGAAUCAAAAUGGAGUCACUAAUGUUAAGAAACCACUGACAAAUAGAGCUGGGAAAGGCUAUGAAUAGAGACUUCUCAUGCUUGUAUGCCUGAUAACAAAAAAGGCUACAAAAACCAAAACUUUGCACAAAGGCUAUCACAACCCUACACAAAAAAUCUUCCAGGACAUCUGUCCAGCAACUGCCUGUCCAGCCUCUGGCUGGUGUCACCCUUGCUAUUGAUCUUUGUAGUCAAAGAUAAUUAUUUAAAAGCAAUUAUGAAAUUCUUCUCAUUUUCCCUUUAAAAUCCUUAGUUUUCCCUUACCUCCCUGAAUACACACAUAGUUUAGUAUGACAUGUCUACUCCCACUGCAAUGCCCUAUUCCUGGAUAAAUAUCUUUUCUUUUAGAGAGCCUGACUCUGCUUGUUUUUUAGGUUGAUACUGCCAAACCAACCCUUCACACACCCAAUAUCAGAAAAUCACUUCCAUUUUGCUCAAGGACUUCCUAUACAUGGAAUCACAUAGCAUCAUAUAGUCUCUUUUGUGUCGUCUUUCACUCAAUACUAUGUUUUUGAGAUCUAUUCAUGUGAUUAUGUACAUUAGGAAACUGUUCAUUUUUCUUGCUAAGUAGUGUCACAUUGUAUGGCUCUUCAAAAGUUUGUUUCUCCAUUCACCUGUUAAUGACAUUUGGGUUGUUUUUGGGCUUUGGUUAUUGGGAAUAAACUGAUAUGUCUUCCUGUGGGUUUAUGCUCUCUGAGAAGUGUAAUUGCUGUAUGUAUGGUAUAUAUAUAUAACCCUAUAAGAAAUUACUGAAUUACUUUCCAAAAUGUCUGGCCAUGUGCUGUACUUCUACCAGCAGUAUUUGAGAAUUCCCAUUGUUCUACUUCCUUGCCAAUAUUGAUGUUAUUAAUCUUUUUGAAUUUUAGCCAACCUAGUACAUGUGAAGUAGCAUCUCAGCUUACUUUUAAUUUGCCUUUGCCUUCUAACUAGCCAAUGUCAGACACUUUUUCAUGUGCUUUUGGCCUUUUGUAUAUAUUAUGUUGUAAGGAGUCUAUUUAUAAUUGCCUGUUUUUGAAUAAAAACAAAUUGAUUAUUUGUCUUUUUUCUUGAGUUUCUGGAGUUUAUGCAUUUUUUGGAGAGACAUCCUUAGAUAUAAAAAUUAUAAAUAUUUUCCCCCAUUUUCAUUGUUUUUAAUUUUUAUUUUGCUUAUUUCUUUAAUUAUUUAUUUAUUUAGUUUGAGACAGAGUCUCGCUCUGUCAUACAGUCUGAAGUACAGUGGUACAAUCUCGGCUCAUUGCAACUCCAUUUCCCAGGCUCAAGUGAUUCUCCUGCCUCAGCCUCCCGAGUAGCUGGGAUUACACG
rnacentral:lncRNA from 1 species